UACCAGCACCCCGAGUGGUCGGGACGAUUAUUGGGCCUAAAGCAUCCGUAGCCGGUCCUGCAAGUCUUCCGUUAAAUCCAGCUGCUCAACAGAUGGGCUGCGGGGGAUACUACAUGGCUAGGAGGCGGGAGAGGCAAGCGGUGACGUUUAUGGGUAGGGGUAAAAUCCGUUGAUCCAUAGAAGACCACCAGUGGCGAAGGCGGCUUGCCAGAACGCGCUCGACGGUGAGGG
rnacentral:rRNA from 1 species